AUUUGCAAAUUAUGGUGGAAAAUAAGUAUUUACAUAACCAGGCUUCACAUGCUUAUAGGUAUUUGCUCUUCAUCAAAAAACGACAGGACCGACAGACUCUCUUCUUUUCCUUCAGUCACCCAGCAUGUCAGAUGCCAGGCACCAACCACACCAGGAAUUCUCCUCAGGUAUUCAACCUGAGCAUCCGUCGUCACCCCUGAGAUGACUCCUUUGACAGCAGACAACCACUCCCAUCAGCUAACAACAACAAGAAGCGUCACCAGUGGGAACGCCAUCACCAAGACUGGACCAAGACUGGAAAAACAUUGCCUGGUCUGACGAAUCCCGGUUCCUGUUGUGUCAGGAUUUGGCAUACGCAGCAUGAGUCCAUUGUUUUUUUUCUUUAACCUUUAUUUUGACAGGGAAGUAUUGCUGACACUAGGGUCUCUUUUACAAACACAAUUACAAAACAUAUUCAGAAAACCAGACACAUUUAUCAACAGAGGUCUCUGAUCAUUACUCUGAACUGAUCAAGAGGGACCAGAACACCUCAUCAGAGUUGUUCCACAUAAAGCAGCUUUACCCAACUCUGGAGACCAAAGGGACCUCCAGUGUUAUCCAAGCCUGAGACCGGGUUUGAUCAUUUCUUAUGUCUAAAUUGAAUUAAUGAUGAUAGAUGCAAAGGAAGUUUCUGCAUGAGUGCUUUGUAGAUAAACACAAGAAAAUGCUGCUCUCUCCUUAUAUACAAAGAGGCCCAACCCACCUGGCCACGUCAUGCCUGGUGUCAACGGUACAGGAUGGUGGCGGUGGUGUAAUGGAUGUAAAAAAUGUUCUGUGUAAUGAAAAGAAAAUGUUUCUCCUUGCCAAUGUGAACAAACUGAAUGUAAACAUGCAGGGGAAAUACAAAACAAUUCUGGCUAAGUUGACAUGCUGGAAAGUGAAAUUGAACAGCUGAUUGAGCUGUUCGAAUGCUGCAGACAACCAGUGGUGACAACGUCGUUCAGGGCAGGUGGAGCUUUUGUUUCGCAUGUUAUUUGCAUGUUAUUUUGGCAUUAAUACGUGUCACAUAUCAGUUUGAAAACAAUUUUCAAAAUAUAUAUAAUUUGAGGUAAUAAAGCCGCAUAAAAACAUGGUCCCUUUUUUUUUUUCUUGAGUAAGACAGCUCCAAAAUGCAGGUGUUUCAGCCUAGCUCGGUGCUUUCUGUGGUGGUGGGGCAAGCCAGCGGAAAAUACAGAGCAUUGCGCCGUGAUUGGCUCAGUGUCCUGUCACUCAUGGGGACACUACGUCACCGCCAAGUCUAAGGGUAAGAGCUAGAAAAUUCAAGCCCCUUGGGUGCUGCCAUAGACUUACAUUAGAAGUGCCCAUCCAAGAAGGCUCAAG